AUACUUACCUAGCAGGGGAGAUACCAUGACACGAAGGUGGUUUCUCUAGGGUGAGGCUUAUCCAUUGCACUCCAGAUGUGCUGAUCCCUGCGAUUUCCCUAAAGUUGAGCUUCCCAGCUCAACUGCAUAAUUUGUGGUAGUGGGGGAAUGCAUUUG